rnacentral:rRNA from 1 species
UUGAUCCUGGCUCAGGACGAACGCUGGCGGCGCGCCUAACACAUGCAAGUCGAACGAGAGAUGAGGAGCUUGCUCUUCAAAUCGAGUGGCGAACGGGUGAGUAACGCGUGAGGAACCUGCCUCAAAGAGGGGGACAACAGUUGGAAACGACUGCUAAUACCGCAUAAGCCCACGGCUCGGCAUCGAGCAGAGGGAAAAGGAGCAAUCCGCUUUGAGAUGGCCUCGCGUCCGAUUAGCUAGUUGGUGAGGUAAUGGCCCACCAAGGCGACGAUCGGUAGCCGGACUGAGAGGUUGAACGGCCACAUUGGGACUGAGACACGGCCCAGACUCCUACGGGAGGCAGCAGUGGGGAAUAUUGCACAAUGGGGGAAACCCUGAUGCAGCGACGCCGCGUGGAGGAAGAAGGUCUUCGGAUUGUAAACUCCUGUUGUUGAGGAAGAUAAUGACGGUACUCAACAAGGAAGUGACGGCUAACUACGUGCCAGCAGCCGCGGUAAAACGUAGGUCACAAGCGUUGUCCGGAAUUACUGGGUGUAAAGGGAGCGCAGGCGGGAGAACAAGUUGGAAGUGAAAUCCAUGGGCUCAACCCAUGAACUGCUUUCAAAACUGUUUUUCUUGAGUAGUGCAGAGGUAGGCGGAAUUCCCGGUGUAGCGGUGGAAUGCGUAGAUAUCGGGAGGAACACCAGUGGCGAAGGCGGCCUACUGGGCACCAACUGACGCUGAGGCUCGAAAGUGUGGGUAGCAAACAGGAUUGGAUACCCUGGUAGUCCACACCGUAAACGAUGAUUACUAGGUGUUGGAGGAUUGACCCCUUCAGUGCCGCAGUUAACACAAUAAGUAAUCCACCUGGGGAGUACGACCGCAAGGUUGAAACUCAAAGGAAUUGACGGGGGCCCGCACAAGCAGUGGAGUAUGUGGUUUAAUUCGACGCAACGCGAAGAACCUUACCAAGUCUUGACAUCCCUUGACGAUGCUGGAAACAGUAUUUCUCUUCGGAGCAAGGAGACAGGUGGUGCAUGGUUGUCGUCAGCUCGUGUCGUGAGAUGUUGGGUUAAGUCCCGCAACGAGCGCAACCCUUAUGGUCAGUUACUACGCAAGAGGACUCUGGCCAGACUGCCGUUGACAAAACGGAGGAAGGUGGGGAUGACGUCAAAUCAUCAUGCCCUUUAUGACUUGGGCUACACACGUACUACAAUGGCGUUAAACAAAGAGAAGCAAGACCGCGAGGUGGAGCAAAACUCAGAAACAACGUCCCAGUUCGGACUGCAGGCUGCAACUCGCCUGCACGAAGUCGGAAUUGCUAGUAAUCGUGGAUCAGCAUGCCACGGUGAAUACGUUCCCGGGCCU